UCUAACUUUGCCUACCAAUGCG
rnacentral:siRNA from 1 species